GCCUGGCUAGCUCAAUCGGUAGAGCGUGAGACUCUUAUUACAUCUCAAGGCUGUGGGUUCAAGCCCCACGUCGGGCU
rnacentral:tRNA from 1 species